rnacentral:lncRNA from 1 species
AUGAGAUCUUCUCAAGGGACUGUAAUAUCUCCUUUUCCACGUUCCAGUCUGGGAUCAAGAGAUCUAGAAGAUCCUGCUUGUACCACAAGCACACCAGCAAAACACCAAAAUGCAGCUGCUAAGUUGGAUCUUCAAAUUAAAAGAUUAUCCUGGUUUAGUCCCAAACUUCUUGCUUCUUCUGGAAGUUUGGAUAUGACCUUCAUGGAAAUGACUACCCCAAAAAUCAACUGGAAUAUGUGUGUUUGUGAGCCAAGGCAUUCCACACAGUCUGAAAAUCUCAGGUGCCUUCAAUGACAUGAGCAUAAAGCCAGUGAGAGAAGGCAGGAAGUGCCAUGAGCACCUGGAGUGUUCCACAGUGAUCAGCUCCAAGCAGAGAUUUCCCUUGCAGAGACCUCAGUGCUUGUGCCCACUGGAAGAUGACCUGGUAGAAAACUUAACUGGAAAAUUCUUACCAUCACCUUCCUUCCCAUUUCCUUUUUUCAGCAGCCCUUAAAUCUUUGGGGGAAGUAGAAAACUUUGAAAUUAUCUACCCAGUGACAGGUAGAUAAUUCUGUCUCUUUGAAGUUACCACUAUCAUUUUCUGUGCAAUAUUUAUGAAAAAAAUCAAACCCCGCAAAUAGUUUCUGGUUACACUAAAACAGAAGAAACAUUUCUAGAAUCAUAGAAUGGUUUGGAGAUGUGGAUGCUAUAGAUAGAGUUAAUUUAUAUUUCUUUUAAGAUGAAAUAAGAUUCUAGAAGUACAUAAUUUUAAUUAUUUUAAACUCCCCCAAGUAACAUACUUAGGGUUGAGGGGAAUCACUCUGCUUGUUGCCAGUUCUCAUUUGUGAAAUAUCUUUACAGACUUAUAGUGUAUUGCCAUAUUUUUGUUGCUUCAAAACUGAUAUUUUCCACUGGUUGAAACUAACCCCCAAUUCAGAGAGCAACAUCCCUGCUGCUCAGACUUGCCAAAUCAAAUUCCUUUUUCAAACUCAAAAUAAUUAUGUAAUCUCCUUCUAUAUCCAAUUUUCCUUCCUCUCACUAACGUCCUCGGUGAGGCUCUAACAAUAAGCCUUUCAGUUUUAACAUUGUUUGACAUGCACAAUGUGGCACGUGCAGAACUGUCCCUUUUGCCUUGGCAGUCCUUCAAAGCCUGGGCUGUUCCCUGGCUUCAUGUAAAGUUUAAGUCAAAAGUAAAUAUGCCACUAAGUGUAAGUGUAGCCUAUCCUGAUGGGCUAAUGUUUUUGGGGGGUGGAAUUGUUCUUUUCAUGAUGUUUUCUCUUGCUUGAUCUCUGAGAUGUCACAGAUUGCAGGAACU